rnacentral:rRNA from 1 species
GACGAACGCUGGCGGCGUGCUUAACACAUGCAAGUCGAACGAUGAAGCAAAGAAUUGAAGCUUCGGCAGAAAUUCAUUUCGGAUUAGUGGCAGACGGGUGAGUAACGCGUGAGCAACCUACCUCUUACAAAGGGAUAGCCUCGGGAAACCGGGAUUAAUACCAUAUAACAUUGCGACGAAGCAUUUCGAUGCAAUCAAAGCUACGGCGGUAAGAGAUGGGCUCGCGUCCCAUUAACCAGAUGGUGAGGUAACGGCUCACCAUAGUAACGAUGGGUAACCGGCCUGGGAGGGUGAACGGUCACACUGGAACUGAGACACGGUCCAGACUCCUACGGGGGGCAGCAGUAGGGAAUAUUGCACAAUGGAGGGAACUCUGAUGCAGCGACGCCGCGUGAGUGAUGAAGGAAUUCGUUUCGUAAAACUCUGUUCUAUGGGAAGAAAAGGACUGUACCAUAUGAGAAAGCUCCGGCUAAAUACGUG